UACAGAGGGUGCGAGCGUUAAUCGGAAUUACUGGGCGUAAAGCGUGCGUAGACGGUUAUGUAAGUCGGGUGUGAAAGCCCCGGGCUCAACCUGGGAAUGGCAUUCGAGACUGCAUAGCUAGGAUGCGGAAGAGGGAAGCGGAAUUUCCGGUGUAGCGGUGAAAUGCGUAGAUAUCGGAAGGAACAUCAGUGGCGAAAGCGGCUUCCUGGACCAACACUGACGCUGAGGAGCGAAAGCCAGGGGAGCAAACGGG
rnacentral:rRNA from 1 species